rnacentral:rRNA from 1 species
AGUGAACGCUGGCGGUAGGCCUAACACAUGCAAGUCGAACGGCAGCACAGUAAGAGCUUGCUCUUACGGGUGGCGAGUGGCGGACGGGUGAGGAAUACAUCGGAAUCUACUUUUUCGUGGGGGAUAACGUAGGGAAACUUACGCUAAUACCGCAUACGACCUACGGGUGAAAGCAGGGGAUCUUCUAACCUUGCGCGAUUGAAUGAGCCGAUGUCGGAUUAGCUAGUUGGCGGGGUAAAGGCCCACCAAGGCGACGAUCCGUAGCUGGUCUGAGAGGAUGAUCAGCCACGCUGGAACUGAGACACGGUCCAGACUCCUACGGGAGGCCGCAGUGGGGAAUAUUGGACAAUGGGGGCAAGCCUGAUCCAGCCAUACCGCGUGGGUGAAGAAGGACUUCGGGUUGUAAAGCCCUUUUGUUGGGAAAGAAAAGCAGCAGGUUAAUACCCCGCUGUUCUGACGGUACCCAAAGAAUAGGCACCGGCUAACUUCGUG